rnacentral:tmRNA from 1 species
GGGGAUGAUCGGCCUAGACAUGUGAUUCCCUUCCUUUUGUGCGCGAUAGAGCCGGAUACCUCUUAAAACUUUCCACCCAUCAAAUGCAAAAUCAGUAAAAUCGCCAUUCGCGGUUAACGAUUUCUCAUUCGCUUUCGCGAAAGCCUAAGCGACGGCGGCCCGCUCGCAUUUCCGGCGCGGCGGCAACCGACGUUAUAGAUCCGGAAUAGAAGAAGGCUCGUUUCGGCCCCUUCGAAUGGCUUCGGCCAUAGAAACUCGGCGCCCGCACGUUUUGUGAUCUUUUAAAGUGCGCCCGCUUAAAGCCCCUGAAGGGUGAAAACUCUCUACGUCGCGUAGACUCAAUCGGAAAUCUCGCAUGCACCCGAGUUCGAUUCUCGGCAUCUCCACCG